CCUACGGGAGGCAGCAGUGGGGAAUAUUGGGCAAUGGGCGCAAGCCUGACCCAGCAACGCCGCGUGAAGGAAGAAGGCUUUCGGGUUGUAAACUUUUUUUGAUAGGGAAGAGCAGAAGACGGUACCUGUCGAAUAAGCCAUGGCUAACUACGUGGCAGCAGCCGCGGCAAUACGUAGGUGGCAAGUGUUGUCCGGAUUUACUGGGUGUAAAGGGCGUGUAGCCGGGCUGACAAGUCAGGUGGGAAAGCCGGGGGCGCAACCCCCGGACCGCGUUUGAAACUGGUGGUCUGGAGUAUCGGAGAGGCAGGCGGAAUUCCUGGUGUAGCGGUGAAAUGCGUAGAUAUUAGGAAGAACACCGGUGGCGAAGGCGGCCUGCUGGACGCCAACUGACGCUGAGGCGCGAAAGCGUGGGGAGCAAACAGGAUUAGAUACCCUGGUAGUC
rnacentral:rRNA from 1 species